GACGAACGCUGGCGGCGUGCUUAACACAUGCAAGUCGAACGGAAAGGCCCUGCUUUUGUGGGGUGCUCGAGUGGCGAACGGGUGAGUAACACGUGAGUAACCUGCCCUUGCCUUUGGGAUAACUUCAGGAAACUGGGGCUAAUACCGGAUAGGAGCUCCUGCUGCUGGGUGGGGGUUGGAAAGUUUCGGCGGUUGGGGCUGGACUCGCGGCUUGUCAGCUUGUUGGUGGGGUAGUGGCUUACCAAGGCUUUGACGGGUAGCCGGCCUGAGAGGGUGACCGGCCACAUUGGGACUGAGAUACGGCCCAGACUCCUACGGGAGGCAGCAGUGGGGAAUAGUGCACAAUGGGCGGAAGCCUGAUGCAGCAACGCCGCGUGCGGGAUGACGGCCUUCGGGUUGUAAACCGCUUUCGCCUGGGACGAAGCGUGAGUGACGGUAAUGGGUAAAGAAGCACCGGCUAACUACGUG
rnacentral:rRNA from 1 species